UGGGGAAUAUUGCACAAUGGGCGCAAGCCUGAUGCAGCCAUGCCGCGUGUGUGAAGAAGGCCUUCGGGUUGUAAAGCACUUUCAGCGGGGAGGAAGGCGUUAAGGUUAAUAACCUUGGCGAUUGACGUUACCCGCAGAAGGAGCACCGGCUAACUCCGUGCCAGCAGCCGCGGUAAUACGGAGGGUGCAAGCGUUAAUCGGAAUUACUGGGCGUAAAGCGCACGCAGGCGGUCUGUCAAGUCGGAUGUGAAAUCCCCGGGCUCAACCUGGGAACUGCAUCUGAUACUGGCAAGCUUGAGUCUCGUAGAGGGGGGUAGAAUUCCAGGUGUAGCGGUGAAAUGCGUAGAGAUCUGGAGGAAUACCGGUGGCGAAGGCGGCCCCCUGGACGAAGACUGACGCUCAGGUGCGAAAGCGUGGGGAGCAAACAGG
rnacentral:rRNA from 1 species